AAAAGACGAAAAGAUAAAAAGAAAUACUGAAUUCCAAAAUUAGUUGAUUUUCUUUUGAAUAGUCCAAGAAAAAUGCUUAAAAAUUGUUUGAAUUAGCUCUGGUUGUUUGGUUUGGCUCUCUGAACCUCAUGUUAAUUGAAAAUUUCUGGAAACCUGGUGAACUUUUUCACCUGGUUAGACAAAUGGUUUAAGCUUUGGCUUGGAGUUUGAAGUUCUUCUACUGUUCCAUUAGUUUCUUUAGGGUUGUUCACUGUUUGAUUGAUCAAAUUUUGGGUUGAUUGCUACUGUAUACUGCUGACCUCUCAUUUUUGUUAUUUUGCAUUCCAGGUAUUUCUCCAUCCACGAGUAACAAGUAAAUGUUGACUAUGUGAUUCAAGUGGAAAUUUGAUAAAAUGCAAGUUAUAUUUAACUUAGUUUUCUUUCUAUUUCUCUUACUGUUUUCACUGAUCUAUAGUAGAUUUCUAAUUAUAAAUGUCAACUAGGCUUUCCCCUUCACUACUUGUAUAUUUUUAAUCCAUGUGUGAGAGUGAGAUAUUUUAAAUCUAUGUUUUAGAAUAGGAAUAAGUCUGAAUUUGUAAUGCCAAAUAAACUAUGGACUUUAGCUUUUCAGUUUUAUUUUUGAUUUGAUGUUCUGGGUCACUGAUUUUUGUUUAGUUUCUGCUAAAGAUCAGUGAGGUUUUAGUUUUGAUGUUUAUCUAAAUUCAUUAAGAUGUUAGGUGUUGGCUUGUAUGUAUAUUGAUUUAC
rnacentral:lncRNA from 1 species